UCAAUCACUGAUAAAACGCCAUUUAAAUU
rnacentral:sRNA from 1 species